rnacentral:rRNA from 1 species
UACGUAGGGUGCGAGCGUUGUCCGGAAUUAUUGGGCGUAAAGAGCUCGUAGGCGGCUUGUCGCGUCGAAUGUGAAAACCCACGGCUCAACUGUGGGCUUGCAUUCGAUACGGGCAGGCUAGAGUUCGGCAGGGGAGACGUGGAAUUCCGGGUGUAGCGGUGGAAUGCGUAGAGAUCCGGAAGAACACCAGUGGCGAAGGCGGCCCGCUGGGCAGUGGCUGACGCUGGAGGCGCGACAGCGUGGGGAGCAAACAGG